rnacentral:misc_RNA from 1 species
CGCACCUUGCACUCCUUGGUAUUCCGAGGAGUAUGCCUGUUUGAGUGUCAUAUAAUCAUCAAUCUCACUACCUUUGUUGGUUUUGGAUUGGUUUUGGGGACUGUUGGCUCGUUCCGAGUCUGACUUCUCUUGAAUGCAUUAGUUGGACCUUUGUUUUGGCGCAUAUAUGCAGUGUGAUAAUAUCUUCACUGUGUCAGUCGAGAUGAAGUCUGACUUCUAACUGUCCUUGGACAACAUUAUUGACCAAUUGGCCUCAAAUCAGGUAGGACUACCCGCUGAACUUAA